GGGGGACUGGCUUCAGAACCUUGGGAAUCGAUUCUCUCAGUUGCAUAUUUGUGCCCGGGCUCUAGGGAGAGUGAAGAUGGCUUUGGCUUUGUCACUUUCCCCUCGGUUGGACUCUACCCUUGGGUUUGGGGCUUAGCCACAUUUGAGGCUCAACAGGUGCAAGAGCUUCCCGCUCAGUCAGAGAUGAUCACCGGAAGAGUCUCCAACUAUAUCGUUCCCACCGGUCUACUAUCUUUGCAGUGACCAGAUGGAGCGUGUACCUCGGACUCUGAGCCUACUGAACAGAUGCUGGGUUCAACCGUGACUCCCAGAAUGAACGAGGAGAAACCGACAGAUCUGUGGGAUUCUUCCGGCUGUGGGUCGGGCCCAGAGCGAACCACUGUUUUCAGCAGGGGAUUUGGUAGGUCAUUUGUACCCUCCGGCUUGAGAGCGGACCCGGACGUCCCCGUGUCCGGGAAGAACGAGGCGAAGAUGGGGGCCGAGAGAGAGAGAGCUUCCGUGUGCGGCGGUGGGGUCGUGCGAUCGUGUCCGCAUCUGGGACCGGCGGCCAUCUCCGUGGCCUCGUAUUGCAGGGGGGCGGCAGAGGUGGCACGGUGAGGGGGAGCGGGAGGACAGGGUAGGAAGAGGUGGGAUUGUGGGUCUGAACUCCCUGCAGCACUGCCACUCGGUGCCCCCUGACCCUUCUGAGGGAGAGAUCUCAGGGGGGACGGUGGCAGUCAUGGGGAGGGAUGGGCAUGGAGGAGGGCAAUGCUUGGGGACUAUUUCUCCCCAAGCACCCCUUCCUCCACCCCCAUGCCCUUUCCCUCCUUUGACUUCAUCUCCUCUCACUACUCCCACCCCGGCCCCCACCAAAAUAAAGUCAUGGGUAGAUAUAACGGUGACCCCAUAAUUGUGGCCCACGGCCCGCCCGCCUGACCGUCUUGCUCCGGAAUCCACCGGCAGCCAUCCCGGAACGCGCCGGAUUCACCGUUCCUCGAUACCCCUGGCCGAGACCUCCAGAGCCACGUUCACCGAACGUCCGCCGGGAUCGUCUCCGAACGCCAUCGGCAGCCCCCCGAGAAAGGCCUCGGGACCCUCUGGUCUCAUGCACAUGGGGAAAAAUGAAUA